AUGGAGAGUUUGAUCCUGGCUCAGGAUGAACGCUGGCGGUAUGCUUAACACAUGCAAGUCGUACGAACAACUUAAUCUUCGGGUUUUUUUGUUAGUGGCGGACGGGUGAGUAACGCGUAAGAAUCUACCUUUAGGAAGGGGACAACAGUUGGAAACGACUGCUAAUUCCCUAUAUGCUGAGGAGUAAAACGGUAUUAACCGCCUAAAGAUGAGCUUGCGUCUGAUUAGCUAGUUGGUAAGGUAAUGGCUUCCCAAGGCGAUGAUCAGUAGCUGGUCUGAGAGGAUGAUCAGCCACACUGGGACUGAGACACGGCCCAGACUCCUACGGGAGGCAGCAGUGGGGAAUAUUGGACAAUGGGCGAAAGCCUGAUCCAGCCAUGCCGCGUGUGUGAAGAAGGUCUUCGGAUUGUAAAGCCCUUUCGACGGGGACGAUGAUGACGGUACCCGUAGAAGAAGCCCCGGCUAACUUCGUGCCAGCAGCCGCGGUAAUACGAAGGGGGCUAGCGUUGCUCGGAAUUACUGGGCGUAAAGGGCGCGUAGGCGGCACUGUUAGUCAGGCGUGAAAUUCCUGGGCUCAAC
rnacentral:rRNA from 1 species